CCUACGGGAGGCAGCAGUGAGGAAUAUUGGUCAAUGGUCGGAAGUCUGAACCAGCCAUGCCGCGUGCAGGAUGACGGCUCUAUGAGUUGUAAACUGCUUUUGUAUUAGGGUAAACACCCCUACGUGUAGGGGCUUGAAAGUAUAAUACGAAUAAGGAUCGGCUAACUCCGUGCCAGCAGCCGCGGUAAUACGGAGGAUCCAAGCGUUAUCCGGUUUUAUUGGGUUUAAAGGGUGCGUAGGCUGUCCGGAAAGUCAGCGGUAAAAUCCCGGGGUCCAACCCCGGCGAGCCGUUGAAACUGUCGGACUAGAGAGGGCGAGAAGUACGCGGAAUGCGCGGUGUAGCGGUGAAAUGCAUAGAGAUCGCGCAGAACUCCGAUUGCGAAGGCAGCGUACCGGCGCCGGACUGACGCUGAGGCACGAAAGCGUGGGUAUCGAACAGGAUUAGAUACGCCUGUAGUC
rnacentral:rRNA from 1 species